UACAGAGGUCUCAAGCGUUGUUCGGAUUCAUUGGGCGUAAAGGGUGUGUAGGUGGCGCCGUAAGUCGGGUGUGAAAUUUCGGAGCUUAACUCCGAAACUGCAUUCGAUACUGCGGUGCUUGAGGACUGGAGAGGAGACUGGAAUUCAUGGUGUAGCAGUGAAAUGCGUAGAGAUCAUGAGGAAGACCAGCGGCGAAGGCGAGUUCCUGGACAGUUACUGACGCUGAGGCACGAAGGCCAGGGGAGCAAACGGGG
rnacentral:rRNA from 1 species